AACGAACGCUGGCGGCGUGUUUAAGACAUGCAAGUCGCACGGGACAAGGUGAGUAGUAAUACGAAUUUUGUUCAGUGGCGCACGGGUGAGUAACACGUGAAUUACAUGCCCUAUAGAGGGGGAUAGCCCAGGGAAACUUGGAUUAAUACCCCAUAACAUCGCAAGAUUAAAGGUGGCCGCAAGGCUGUCGCUAUAGGAUUGGUUCGCGCCCUAUCAGCUUGUUGGUGAGGUAACGGCUCACCAAGGCUACGACGGGUACCUGGUCUGAGAGGACGAUCAGGCACACUGGAACCGAGACACGGUCCAGACACCUACGGGUGGCAGCAGUCGAGAAUAAUUCACAAUGGGGGCAACCCUGAUGGUGCAACGCCGCGUGGAGGAUGAAGGUCUUCGGAUUGUAAACUCCUGUCAUCUGGGAGUAAGGCGUGGAUGUUAACAGCAUACACGAUUGAUAGUACCAGAAGAGGAAGGGACGGCUAACUUCGUGCCAGCCGCCGCCGUAA
rnacentral:rRNA from 1 species